rnacentral:lncRNA from 1 species
AAACUUGACACCAUUCUUGGCAAGGAUUUCUGGGAAAACACAGCCCAAUGCGCCGAGCAUGGCCCAACGGCAGUGGAUAACCUCAAGCUCACGGUUCUUGGCAAAUGUCUCAGGGUCUGCUGAUAGUCCAGCUGUGUCCCAACCAUAAUCACCUGGGAAUUCACCAGUGAGGUAUGAUGGAGUUUGCUCAGAGAAUGGACCCAAGUACUUGGGGCGGUCAGGUCCGUACCUGUUUCAUCAGUUGAGAUUUGAUGAGAUAAAUCUAAAUUGCCUUCAAAUUUGAUUGUAACAAGAAAAUAAGACAGGAAUUUGAGGUUAGGAACCUGUGACCCAAAAUAUAUGUUGUUCAAAUGUGAGUUGGGUACAAUUUCCUCUUGGAAACCACAAUUAAGUGCUUGGUGAACGGAUCCUUUAUUAUCAUUAUAAUAUGUACUGUUGAUCAAUCUAAUAGGAGUAAAAUUUACUUUAACGAGAUCAAUUUCUAUUAAAACUGCUAGAAUCAUAUGCAUGAGUGUUUGUGUAGCAUGUUUUCUCUAAGAUCAAUUUCUUUAUGAAAUUAGGGAGCAUUCUGAAGUGUGGCCGUAGCUAACAGUUUAAGCUGUAGUUGUGCAUGUGUAUGCGCAGGUUGAGCUAGAAUUUACCAAAUGCUCUGGGGAGCACUUUUAACAGUACGUCUCAUGGUGAAGCGGCCACCUCCGAGGUUGCCAACCUUUCUGAUGAGCUGAUUCUGGGAUUUCAAGGCUGUCUGGCCUGCAAAUGCAGAUUGUUGGAUUGCUGAAGUUGCCAUGUUUUUGCUCGUGAGUUUCUUUCUUUGUUGCGGUGAUUUGCUUUCUGCUUUGUUGGGAUGGUUAAAGAGGAUGGGAGAAGAGUGUUUAUAUAUGGGAAUUAGAAGAUUAGUGGAUUGCAAUAUCUACAUCUCAGAACAAUCUGAUUGGUUCAUGUAUUGGAUUUAGAUUUCCCUUGAGAUUUUCUUGAGAGUGAAAUAGAGGUCUUUAUUCUGCCACGUGGCUAUGAAAAAUCUCAUUCGGCAUUUGAAUUGGACAUCCUCAGCUCUCUAAUGGCCACUGAUAUUGUGUGGACCACUGGCUUGCUUCUUGUCACUCCAUUGAGCCAAAGAAAUGUACACGUCUCGACUUGGAUUUAAAAUUUAAAUAAUAGAGAGAAAAUGAAAACUCAAAGAAAAACAUAAUGAACAAGUUAUGUCACACCUCUUAGAGGUUAAAAUUGUUGGUUCAGCCUGGAUGGAUCCAACUACAAUCAAAGGCUCACUUCAGGCCCUGCCAAAGCGCUGACUCAUUCAACUCCUAGCGAUCGCACCGAGCUUUUCCAUCCUCGGCAAGGCAAUACAUGUGUAUAAAAUUCUGGAUAUACUUUGUUGCCUCAUCAAAUUUUACAAUUUUUCUUACUACAUCAGAGUACUCAACACUGAGAAUUUAAAGGCUUCCCCGAGUUGCAAUUUACACUGAAACUGUUAGAAUCAGUUUUGUAAUUUUUUAGACCCAGUUGGGUUGAAACUGCCCCCCCCCCCCCCCCCCCACACACACAUUAAAUAAGUUGGAUUGAAGGGAAGGAACUAGGGAAUCUUUCUUUAGCUUUUCGCAAGUCAAAAUUUCAAGGCCUGCUUGCAGUCUCAUCUUCCUGCAAUCGAGUUCUCCAUCACAAUUUCGCAUGCUCGCGAUGUCCACCUGGUCUUCUUCUAGCACAUGUGCUACCUUAAAAUAUUGCAUCAUGACUCGAAGAAAAUUUUCCAACUCUUUGGCACAUUAGGUACGACCAUACUUUGAUUUUUGAGGUUACCCUGAGUCUCUAGGAGCAAGAGUUGCCCGUUUCAACAACAUAUCUUCGCCUUCCAGCAACCCAAGGCGAGAAGAAACAAUGUCCCUAGUGUGGACGUAAACUUUUUGUUCGACUUUUCGAAAACCUAGCUCAUAUUCUCUGAAUUUUACUUCAUUUCCUCCGCUGGUGCCACCUAACGACAACAAUAUUUAACAUCCGGGCAGCUAGGAAAUCCUCAAGCAUUCUAACUCGAUCUUUUAGAUUUUGACUUGUAGCCAUCUUACUAUUUUGCCAUCAACUUGCAAAAACAUGUCUAGUUCGUUUCCACCAUUUAAACCUGAUGCUCUAAUACCAAUUGUCAUAGGACUAACUCGUUCAACUUGCGAGGUUGCCAAGUUUCCUUGUUCUCAACCAACUAAUAUAUGUCGAUGCAAUUCUUGAUAUGAAAACUCAUUGAUUUUGACUAAGUAAAUGUAGAUUAUUGAAUUAAAGUAAACAAACACAGAUUUUACGGACAUCAAUCCAUCUUUAUUCUCACUAAAACAAAGAAACAUGUACAAAGUUAUGAAGGGCCAACACACUUUGUUGCCUCAUCAACUCUCACAAUCUGCCUAUCUAAACAAAGUACUCGACACUUAGAAUUUAAAUCCAUUCCCGAAUCGCAGUUUACACCGCAAAUUGCUAGAGCCAAUUUGCAGUUUUUUUAGCCCCAACAUUUAAACACAAUGAAUAAAUACUCGUAAUCGCUAUCUCUUGCAAUCCUUAUACUUGAAUGUUCGUUGAACUCGUGGACUAAAAUUAGUUGGAUAGUAAGGUCUCAAUGCUACCGAACACAUGCUCACAUCAAUUCAGUAAUCAAAGCCAAAUAUUACUUACAUCCCCAAAUUUCGUCCUGCGAUACUUCCAUUAAAUAAAUUAAGCAUCAUCAUGUCUCCAUUUUUUCCGCAUCACAAAACCAAAUCGUGUCUUACUUCAUCCUAUCCAAAUAUGCACAUUGUUUUGAUAUCUCGGACGCCUUUGACCAUAGCAUGGCAUUGAAUAAUGUAAUUUAAAUCAAGUCAUAAUUAAGAAAAAUGAAUAUUUUGUGAGACGAAAGACUGAAAAAUGUAGAUGAGAAACAAGUGUUUAUAACUAAAAAAAUGAUCUUUAAAAAAAAAAAUGUCGUAUAAAAAUUUAAAUAGAAAAAUUUGUUAAGACAGGAUCCAAUUAUUUAAUUACUUUUAGUUUUAAAUUUUUUUAGUAAGCGGGCCACUUGGGUUGGGCCACAUUUGUUAUUAGGCUAGACAAUUGAUUUUGGCCCAUGUGUCGGAUUAGGAUGGUUUCAAUUUUAACUCGUUCGGUCAGCCUGGCCCAUUUCUCUAUUUUACUAGGCCCAGUGUUGUUCAAAAUAUAAAUUAAAUUAUGAGAAAAUUAUCCAAAACCACAACAUAUAAAGUAUACUAUUCAAAAUUAAAAAUUAUUAGUUUUAAUUUCACAAAUCAAGUGACAAUGAAAUUUAAUGAAAUUAAUUAAUACGUAAUUAAAUCGCACCCAUACAUCCCGUCCCACACAACCCACUCCACCUAUUCUAUCACUUAAAUUGAAAUCUUUACUAAUCAAUCACUAUCGGAUACCCCACGCCUUAAAUUGAAAUCUUCCCAAAUCAAUUCACUGAACAAAACUCUCUCUCUCUCUCUCUCUACAUAUAUAGGAAGUUUACUAGAGGAAAAGAAAUACUUAGAUUUGCUCCCUCUACGGAUUGUUGAUAGUGAUGAAAAGUCUUCAAUGGGCUACUUAUAUGAAGUUUUUCAUUUGGCAAAAGGUAAGAUGGAAGCAGAUUUCAAACAAGGAAGAAUAGAAUUGCUCCUUAUUUGCAAAUUAUUCAGACCUGAUGGGAUAGUCAAUUCCGUAAGAAUUUCCAUGCUACUGGAUAUUGGUUAAAUCCUUCUUUUCAAUAUAAUAAUUAUGAUAUGGAAAAUCAUAUUGGUUAAAUCCUUCUUUUCAAUAUAAAUCCUUCUUUUCAAAAAAGGAAGAAUAGAAUUGCUCCUUAUUUGCAAAUUAUUCAGACCUGAUGAGAUAGUCAAUUUCGUAAGAAUUUCCAUGCUACUGGAUAUUGGUUAAAUCCUUCUUUUCAAUAUAAUAAUUAUGAUAUGGAAAAUCAUAUACAAAUUAUUCCGAGAAUUUUAGAUGUAAUAGAGAAAUAUACUUAUGAUCAACUCGAUUUAAGAAGUAUAUUGACGGGUGAAAUGAGACUAUUUAAGCAAGCACAAGGUGACUUUAGACAUUAAUCUACUGUAGCUGAUCGCCAUAGAAUGGCUCCUAGUGAAAUUUUAACCUCGUGUUAUGUACUUUGUUAUAUUAUAUAACUCAGAUUUUAGUUUAUAUAACACACAUCUAUUUUAUUUUCUCUUUGGCUGUUACAUAGAUGAAUGGUGGAUGUAUUAUGGUAAUUUUGCACCAAACCUACAAACAUUGCAAUUCGAGUAUUAAGUCAAACAUGUAGUUCUUUAGAUUGCGUGAGAAAUUCGACUAUGUUUGAACAUAUUUAUUCAAAAAAGAGAAAUAGACUCGAGCAUCAAAGGUUUGAUGAUCUUGUUUAUGUUCACUACAAUUUAAUAUUGCAACAAUGGUAGUAUUAAAUAAUAUUUUUCAUCCUAUUGUGAUUUAUUUAAUUUUAAGAUUUUAGUUUCUUUAAGUAGAAUUAUAUUUGAUUAUUUAUGAAUUGGAUUAUAAACUUUGUUUAGGAAUUAUUUCAAGAGUCGAAAUUAUAAUCCUAUCGACUUUGAAAGGUUUGGCAUCUAUGGCAAUUAGGUGUUAGAGUCAUCAAAUUUGGUAGAUGAUGAGUUAAGAGACAUUUUAUCAUGAUUUGGGCGCAUAUACUAUAGAAAAUGACAAAAAUGAAAGUAGUUGUUCAAUUAAUACUAUUGUUUCUUCUUUAUAUUAAAGUAUAUAUGAUGUGACAUUGAAUUUUAAAACUUUUCUCCAGAUAAAUCUACCAUGGCCCUCUUUUCUAUUUUUAUGGUGAAAAUAAUGGGAAUUCUUGCAAUAUUUAUAGCUGAUAUUCUCAAUUGGGUUUGUAUACAACUAUAAUUGAAAAACUAUGUAAUACAAGAAAUUUGAAUAAGAAUUAGUUUCAAAUAAUAGAAUUAGUAGUAUACUCUACUACCGAAUUUCCUAGUAAAAUCAUCACAUUAAAAAUAUGACACUUGGCCAACUUGUACUUGGUUUCAAAAAGAAAUUUGAAUUGUAUUAUAAUAUUGGUUUUAAAUAAAUAACGUGUGUAGAAAUUAAAAGAGAAAAAGAAUUGUACUUAAUUAAUAUUGCAAGUUUUCACCAACUCCAUUAACCUAUUAUUCUUUUAAUUGUACUCAACUCGAUGUAGUCUAAUCCCCAAUAACUUUUUCUCGUGUUAAAGUUUUCUAAAUAAUUACGAGUUACAAAAAGAGUUCAAUAUUGAUAUACUAAAACUCGAUUUAUCAAAAUAUAAUUAGUUGACCCCAAAAAUAUUAGAAUUUAAAACAUAAUUCACUUUAAUCCCCCACCUUAAUAUUUACGGGGCCUUAGCAGAUAGUCAGCCUAAUCAGCACUGCAAACGGCUUUGAUGGGUCCAACUGCAUUUCGAUAAUAUGAUCCAACUCAGCCGAUCCAUAACAACAGAUUUAAGUUUAGGCGACAUGAAUUUCUAGGGCCUCGUGCAUGCUCAGUGUAUGAACACAACACAUUACAAUGACAUCAAUUUACGAGACAAAAGGGUAAAUGAGUGCACUUACACAACGCAUUUGAAUCUUCAUCUGUCAUAUCCAAUGGAUGCGCUAUCACCCAACGAACCAUAUGGAGCAAUUCCCUACUCUCACAUGAUUUUUUUCCCCUUUAAAAAUGAAUCAUCCAACCCAUCUCCGUAUAUUGAAUCUGUGAACUAUCUAUCUAUACACGUAGCGUGGCUCAAACCUAUAUAUAUAUAUAUAUAUAUAUAUAUAUAUAUAGAGAGAGAGAGAGAGAGAGAGAGAGAGAGGCAACCUUCUCGUGCUAAUUUGAAUUCUUGAAUCCGUUCAUAUCCUAAAUAUUCACUCAGUCCCAUAAAUUAAUAAAAUUACAGUGAUAUUACUAUAGUUGAUUUAAAUAAGAGUAUUUAUAUUUGUUAAUAACAAAACACAUUAAAUAGAUAUAUAUUGAAAAACUGAUAAAUCAAUUAUACUUUCAAUAAGAAAAUUGACCUAUAAUUUGAGACAGAUGAAAAAGAUAAACAUAUCUAUCUUUAUGAGAGAGAUGGAGUAUCAAAUGUAAAAAAUGAAGAAUUUCCUCAAUUAACUAUUGAUAUGAGAAGCGCUCACUACUAAAAAGUUCCAAAAUUUUCCCAGAAACUCCAUAAAAUCUAAUAUCGGAUUGUUCUUAAUAGCUCUAAGGUAGAAUCGUCGUCAUCCCUAAUGUUUAGCAUUGUUUCUUUCCAUCCACAUAAACCCCACAGCCAUAAUAGGAAUCAACGAGAAAAAUGGACACACAAAAGAAGAAAGAAAUGGAUAUAAGCCCCUCAAAAAUCAACCCAUCGCACAAAUACUAAGAUACUUGAUCCCAUUUCAUAAAAAUUCAUACAGAAUUAACAAUAGAAGUCUAAAAAAGAACCUAUUACUUAAUUCUCAUGAGUCCAUAUGGGUAGGCCCUUCAUCAUCCGUUGUACUAGUCACCACUGAAACACUCCCUAACAUAAUUGCCGUGAGCAUCAACUUGCCUGCAUCUGGAAAAUCCUUGUGCUGCAUAAGGAUAGCUUCCACAGAGGAAUUCAUGUCCUUCAUAUUUGGAAUUUCUGAAUUUUCCUGACUGAGCAGCAGAACUUCAUCAAAUCUGCCUUCAAAAAUUUCUGAUUCGGGUCCGUAACACUUACUAGAAGCCUGGAAAAGAACGGUUUCCCUAAGAAUGCGCAUCGUCUCCUCAUCACUCCACCCUUCGGUUAUAGACAUUUGAUAGAGUUUUUCCCAAUCAUCUUGAUUCGCUGCAUUCCUCCAGCAUUCUUCCAAUAGGGUUGUAUUACUUCUAAGAAAUGAGGAGCUGGUCCAAGUAAAAAGAUCAAAAGCUCGCAAUGAUAGCUCUCGAUUUUGACUUUUAAUGCACAAUUCAAUAAGAUCUACUGGAGGAAGCAGCUUUUGUUCCAUUGAUUGCUUUUCUUCACCAUCAGGUACAAGUUUCAAAAUUUCUUCCUGCAAAUGAAGAAAAUAAUAUGGCAAGUUGAUAAUUGGGGCAGAGAUGUAAAGGGCGUUAACUAUAAAGUCAACAACAAAUAUAACUGUAAUAUAACUGUAUCGGUAUGAUUACAAAAGCCACUAUAUCAAAUAGCCUUUCUAAAAUGAAGCAAACUUGUGAAGUGUCAGAACAAUUUUAAAACUAGCAAUGAUAAAGGAUCUUUUUGUAACAUUUUUGAAGUGUCAGCAAAAUUGAAAAACUAAAAAUGAGCAGAUAAUGAUCUUUUCACAGCACAUAUCACAAAAUAAGCUUUAUUUCCUAUAGGUACGUAUACUUUUUUCGCCAUUCCAUUCGGCUCAGCUGUAUAUCGAUAUGAAAAUCCAUUGUAACCAGAUCCGCUGCAAUCAUGACAAGCUAUAUUAAAUUUGGCAUCGGUCCGCCUUUAUAAUCUGUUUUACUGAAAAUCUGAGAUCACAUCACUCUUGUAAAAGAAGCUUCUUUAGGUCUAUGCAAACCAUAUCCCAAGCACUUAAAACUUGUCCUUUAGUUUUUCCUCAAUUGGUGACACUAUUGGCACAUAUUCUAAUCUAUUGUCUUAUCCAUUCUAACAUUGUUCAUCAUAUUUCUUCACGUUAACUAUGUUCGUCUCAUGUACAAUUUUUUUUUUGCCCAUCCGACAUCAGUACCAUAAACAUGGUCUAAUAACUAUUAUGUAGAACUGAUAUUUUAGUUAUUUAGAGAUCUUCCGAUCACAUAUAAUUCCUGCAGCACUUUUCCAUUUCAUUUAAUCAACUCUAACCCUACGCUUUACAUCCGCUUCAAUUCGUCCAUCAAUAAUUAUUGAAAUUAAAUACAUAGAAUAAUCACUAUUUGGGGCAACAUGAUCCUCCAUAAUAGCUCUGUUAUAAUCCUUAAUCCUAUAGAAUAAAAAUUGUUCUAUUCUUCAAUACCACCAAGUCAUCCAAUAUAAUUUUUAUUGAAUAUAUAGAUAUUAUUAAAUAUAUGAACUAUGCAACAGUCACAAACCUAAGAUGUGCCUACACUAAUAAGGAAUUUCCCGACAAGCAGCAUCUCUUUGAAACUUUUUGAACUUGGAUGGAUGUAAAUCCUCGUACAAAUUCCAUUUACUGAUAACCAGAGGACUUGGCUAGAAGUGGCAAUUUGUGUUGAAGAUUUAACACAAGCCAUAAACAUCUAUAUAGAGAAUUAAAAAUAAAAAGAGGGAGAGAAUAUCAGAAUAGUGUACAAGCUUGACAAUGGUGGACAAAAACUGUGAAAAUGCUACCCUUCAAAGUGAAGUGAUGGUCCAAGCUACAGUUCAAAUUUAUCGUCUGAAACUAUUUGUUAUAAUUAGGUAGAAUAUUCAUCCAAUCUGUAAUGGAUGUUAAAUAGUACAGAUUAUCAACGAGAAAAAUGAACAACUCAUGAUCUCAAGAAUUUGGUCCCUUAAAUGCUCUUUAAGAAAGGGAUGAUGAAACUAGAAUAUCAUUAACUGCAGAGAAGGGAGCCUACCAAGGUACUUAAGUUGCUUAUACUGAUAUGGACCUUAAAAUGGCUUGUCCAAGAUCUAGUCCACAAACAUACCUGUAGUUUGAGAAUAUUCAGAUCUGCUUGGAUGCGCUUUACUUUUGCUUCAUAAUCAGCAUUCUUUCCUGAUCGACAAAAAUACAAUCAUCAAUACUUCAGGUGUGAACAUGAAAAGAAGAAUAAAUUUUGUACAGAAUGCUAAACAACAAAGAAAGCAAUACCACAGUCAUCGAUGCUACAGAUAUUGCAUAAGACAGAAAAUGACGAAAUUGAUGCAGCAAACCGAAAUUACAGGUAAGGAAGGAAAACCUCUGAUAACACUAAGAAAAUGUAUAACAAGAAUUUAUUAACAAUAAGACCUGUAGGCAAGACGAAAUCACAAUACUACAGAGUCGAUUUUUUAUUGUCCAUUACUUUCUGUACUUUUUAUAGACGAUCAGAGUGGGAAAAUGUUGUUCUGACGACUUUCGACAUGAAGAAGAAAUAUUUUCUUGACUGCAAAUAGUAAAGCAGAAAUUGCGAAUUGAACAUAGAUUUAAUUAUCUUACAUAAAUUUAUAUAUGUUUCCAUUACUUUUGAGGGAGGAUCUAAGGAUUUCACCCCUCUUGCCCUCCUAAAGGAGACUCAAACCCUGGUCGUUGGCCUGAGAGGGGUUCACUCUUUACCACUUGAGCUAGGCCUAGGCCUACUCUCACAUAAUUUGAAGUACACUGCACUCGUGAUUGUGUGCAUAUAUGCAGGGAUUUUCCAGGUGGAAACAGUACCCGCUAUUGCUGAUAUUUUUGCAAGAUUCAGAAAACGCCUUCUAUCAGCCAAGGUUAAUCUACUCUUUGAGCCACCAGCAUCAAUUUCAUGAGUAUCUGAAACUGAACUAUCUUCCUUAGAAAGAGAUAAUGCAUGUAGAGUUUCAGAAGCUGAGGAAAAUUGGCGAAGAAACAAUUCAUGGAGCCAGAGAAGAUUAGGAUGAUGCUUCAGAAAAGUAGCCAGAUCUUCCUGAAACUCUUCCCCCAACCUCAUAAGCUUUGAGAAAUGUUUUCUUUCAUAGAGUUGUUCGAACACAAAGUAACUAAACCCUCCUUUAGGUCCCACGCUCUCACGCUACAAAAAAAUAGUAUUAUAUUAUGGAGAAUAGGAUAAACGAAAUGAAAAUUGAUAAAUUUGCAUAAAAUAUUGAAGGCUUUGAAUAAAAUAAUUUGUCAAUAUACACUGGAUACUAAUAAUAACACUAUCAAUGGAACAACCACCACAACCACCAAGUAUUCACCUCUGAGGAGGUAGGAUGGGGGUCACAGGAUAUUGGAAUUGGAUGAUAAAAUUUAUACCAUAAGACUUUGAAGGAGUUCAGAAUCAUUGAGGUCACUGCAUAUGCUCCACAUAGUUUGAUAUCCUUCAUGUCGUUUGGCAAUAGACAAUACCCUUGCAGAAAGUUUUCUGAGACUGUUCUUAUUCUGCACUUCGUCAGAUUCAAUGGAAUCCUACAAUGCAGUUAGAAAAAUGAAUAUGUAUGUGAGAUAUGAAAUCCUCCAUUCUGAAUAAAAGGAUAAAAGAAUUAUCUUAUGUUCAAAAGGUAUCUAUACCAAUUUUUAUUAGAGAUGAUGUUGACAAAUCAACAACAUAUUAGGAUUCUAAAAAAAGCCUGAUAUGCUGCUGCUUUUACUGUAAUGCUUAUUCUAUAAUUCCUAAACAAGAUGUUAUUCUCAUUCUUUGCGAAAUAAGCACUGUUUAGAAAGGCCAAAUCAGGUAUUGAGGCAAUUUGUGCAAGAAGUGACAAGGCACUUUAGGGUAGCUUCUACAUAAACCAAUAACAUAAUUCACAAUAUUAUACUCAUUAAAAAACCAUAAACAUACAAAAACCCAAUAAAUGAAACCAGAAACAUUUCAAUAAAAUUAAAAGUAUAAUUAAGUACUAGAAAUAUAUAUGCAUUGAUAAAAUAACAAACAAUUAAUGAACACAGAAGAAAUAUACACGCAUUAAUAAAAUAUCUUAACAUCUAAAUGCAUUUUCGAAUCUGCCGAGAUUCAUAGAACUUGUCUAAUCAAUAAUUGUGUAUAUUUGAUAGGGAGUACGUUAUGGACUAUUUUUAGGGAUGUGCAGCUGUAUCCUUUUUGUCUUUCCUAUAAUAAUUUACAUUUCAUGUAUUUAUACAUGGUAAACAUACCAAAUUUUAUACUAUAUAUCCUCUCUUUCCUUCUUCUGUCUACAUGACAUUGACUAUCAAAAAACAUUUUUCCUUCUUCCGUCAACAUGAUAUUGACUAUCAAAAAACAUUUGCCCUUGUCUCAGAAAUGAACUCUUCCAAGGGUCCUAUUUCUGCUUGCACAGGCCAGGAUUAUUCUCUCUCCAGUCUAACGAGUACAUUGGACCCAGCACAUAAGUUCUCCUAUAAGAAGGGUCAAUCCAGUCAGGUUGUAAUCAUACCGUAGAGCAAUCACAACAGAAAUAACACCAAUUCACCCUGCUAAAAAAGAGAGAACCUUAAUAUUCCUGCUUUGAAAAAGAAUUUAUUUGAUGAAAUACAAGUAUUUGGGAAACAUCUUUGGUACGAAAAUGAGUUAUAGUUCCAACAAAGAAUUUAUAAUUAUGAUUAAUUAACAAAAAUCAAGUUCCUCUUACAGCUGAACGCAGUGUUGUAAAGCAGUCAUUAAAAUAGUAGUUAUAUCCCUCAAGAAGAACAAAAACAUAGAAUAUCCCAGUUUCAGAAAAUGGAAAGGAUUAGUACCCAACUACAAGUCAGAAGCGGAAAUAGAUUUCUAAACAAUAAGAUUGCCAAGUCCAUGAAGCAACAGCAUGAAUGAAAAUUUUAGUAUUUAUAGGCCAUAACAUUUUUCACACAUUUCUUACUCAUAUUAUGCCUCUAUCAAUAUCACAUAACAAAUUAAUCAGAAAAAUUAACCUGGAGUUUGGCUUCCAUAAACGUCUUCACUUUCUGAUAAAGGGCGUCAAGAAGUACAUCUCUCCGCUUCCAGUAUUCCACCAAUAGACUCCUGUGUUCUUCUUUCCGGUCAAUUUUGGCAGUGAUAGCAUUAGAAUAUGCCUCAAGCAAUACUUCUGAGAGUACUUCUAGAUGUGAACAGAAUUCCAACUUUGCAGAAUCUUCAAGAUGAUUCAUUUCAUUUAAUAGCUGAAGCAUGAAUGAUGCAACACUCCACAACCCACCCAAUACCACAGUUUUUGAAUACCAAGGUGUUAAGCCCUCCGCAGGAGGAUACCACAAGUGAUGUUCACUCCUGUAUCCCAUAGAAGCAUUGAAUAAAGUCACACAUGCAUUUGAGAUUUCACAGGCUCUUCGAAAUUGAAUUGCAAUUGGCAUCUCUCCAUUAAUGAGGUAUUCUCGCUGUCUCUCUAAGCAGUAAAAUAAUUCCUCAAUAUCUGAAACCUUACUAUAGAAUACUUCAGCAUUGUCCCUAUCCAUUAAAAGGACUGUGUUCCUGCGAGCUCUCUCACCAACUAACUGGAUUAGAUCCCAAAGGGCACCAGAAUACGCAUCAAUUCCAGUUACAUUGGAUUGGCUGAUUAUAUGUUGUAGUUCCCUCACUUGGAUCAUGCCAGCAAGCUUUUCCCCGUGUUCCAUGAUGAUUUGCAUGGAUUGUCCUGAUAGAAGAAAGCAUCACUUUAAAUUUGAAAGGUUUAUUUAUUAGGAAAUUCAAGUAUAAAAAGGAAAAAGGAAUGGCAGCUGUAUUUACUGAGAAUGGGAGCAUAGAGAAGCAUUCCCUAAAAAAUUUUACUACUGAAUUGAAAAGAGAUGAGCCAGUGUGUUGUUUAAAACUUGCCACUGGAUCAGGUAAAGCAUAUGGUCAUAUAACAAGGUUAAACAAUAAACUUGUUUUGUGAACUACAAAAAGCACCCAACAGCUACAGAAGGAAGAUCAUUAAGUGUCGAGAUUAAUUACAACCAAACAACUUAACGAUAAGUUUUCAGAUUAACAAGUAUAAAAUUUUCCAAAAACUGCACAUCACAAAAAUUUAACAAACAGUUUAUCAUAUGGUCAAAUUGAUCAUACUCUGUCUAGAACACAAUUCUUCAUGGCACUUGGAUAAAGCAAGAAACUGGAGAUACUUUUGAUGCCUCUGUUGUUUCUCUACAAGCUGUGUGGACACAACAGACGAAGAGAUUAUCUCAGGACCCCUGGUCGUUGUCCAAUGUUUAGCUAAGGUGUCAACAAUUGAUUUGCUUGUCCUGGUAAAGACGUUAAUUUCCCCUUCUCUUUCAAACGCCCUUGAGUUUCUUAAUUUCUCGAGGACACCAUCAACCUGCCCAGACAAGAGAAAAUCAUGGAAAAGCUGAGUUAAUAAUGCUUCUGAUUCCUCAUCUUGAGGGCUCCGACGUGCAAUUCCAGUCAAGCCUGUUCUUUGCCUAUCACCAACAUCCCAUGCUUCCGAACUAGCUCUUCUGGGAGCAAUGUUCCCAGCCAAUGACAAGUUUCUUCUCUCCUCUAGUACCGAUCGAUCAUUUGAACUGCCUUUACGUGAUAAGCUUCGCUCAGGUGGUUCAACCCCACCUAGUAAAAUAGCACUCUCAGGAAUAGCCCAAACUCCAGCUUUCUCUGUGAGGACAGCCCAAGCUCCAUCCUCACUGUCCUCCAAAGAUGCGAGCACUGAAGCAUCAAGUACUUUUCCAGCAUCAUAAGGAAGAUCAAACUGAUAGAGCCGAGUAGAGUUUCUCCAAUAAUGUGAGACAGUUGCAGUACCAUCACCAGAGAGUAUAAUGGCAGAACCAGCUGGCUUUCCGCCUACCUUUAAUCUCAUGGAGAACAAGAAUUCCUCGUCUUCUACUCUUGCUUUAGGUAUUAUCACUUGGUUAGGAGCCUUUUUCUCUAAUAUUCUUUCACCUAUUGGCUUAAUGAUAUCGAUUCCUGAUUUAUAUUGCAUAGUCAGAAGUGAAUACUCAGUGUAGCUUGAACUGGUGGCUCUGUCCUUGCAAAAUAUAGCAAUAAGAAUAGUUAUUACUCUGCCAUCACUAUCAACUUGCAACUCAAGAGGCCAAAUUCGCUUUUGGCCAGCCAGAUCUUUCUGGAUACCCAAAUCACCAUCAGUUCCAAUAAUCUGGUGAGACCAGAGCUUUGACACAUCAAAAUCAUGAGAGAGAGUUAUUUCAAAGCAUUGAAUCUCAUGAUCUGUUAGUAAAAGAAACUGUCUUUUGGGCUCGUCAAAAGAAUGACAGUAAGAAUGCCAAAUCAAUGACCUCGGAUACCCCUUGCUUGCAACAAAUGGGCUACUGUCACUGCUUUGAGAGGAUAUGUUCAACAUGCCAACACAAAUCUGGUUACAUUGAAUCCCAGAUGGGCUGCAGAAAAAAUGCCACAGUUCACCACUAGAACUACUUGCAAUAGCAAUGCAAUCAUAGCGGUGAGCAGGGAUUGAAGCAGCAAUCAUAGAGUUAAUAGAACUUGAUCUAGCCAAACUGCUACCAAGUUUUCCCUGUUGCAGCUGGUUGCAAAAGAUGGAUUUUCCAUCGCUAGGAAAGUAAGACUCCUCAACAGAAACAACACUAGUAAGGGGCUUGUUCCUGGUUUCACUAUAGAUAUCUGGCCAGUAUAUAAGAGCUCGAGUUUUUUUAUUACACAAUACAAUCCCAACAGAAUUGCCCUGUUGAACGAAUUUUCCUGCUCUACUCUUUGAGCUAUCCCAAUUGACAACACAGACUAACCAAUUAUUAGAACAAGAAAUUCUUUUGCCUAUAUCUGCAUUUUCUGAUGCAAUUGAAGGAAGUUCAAGGGCAACGCAAGCUCUUGAAGUGGCAGGUGAUAGGUAAUUCCAGAUAAAUAGUCUAUUUCCACAGAUAAUCCAUGCCAGAGAUGUUUCUUUGUCAAUCCCACCAGAGAUAGAUGCAUCACCUACCAGUGGAGCAAAAACAUUAAACCUUCAUACAAGAAGAAGAAAAAAGAUUCUUAAGACAAUGUAAAGUCUGGGAUGAAUUGACAGGACCAACCAGGAGCAUGAUUCUGUAAUAACAUAGCUUGUGCAUCACGUAAUACUUGAGGAAACUCCGCAAUAUAUUUAGGCUCUCCUUUCUCACUUUUAUUCACAGUGGGAACUCUGGAUACAUUAACAGCAGAAAGGUGCGAUAAUCAGUUAGCAUAUAAAAAAAUUAUUUCUCCAAUUCUUUCCCAGCUAACAUGGAACGAAUCACAAUUAAACACUCAUCAAAUUUCACACACUUCAUUCGAAAAAUAUUUCAACACCGAUAAGCAAACAAAUACAUACACAGAUACAAUUUUACUUGAUUUAUUUCAAGAUUCAUAUUUAGGCAUAGACCCCUUUGAACAACCCAGUAUAAUUUUGUAGAAGUAACUAUUGUACAUGUGGCUUAUAUAGAGUGGAACACAGGCCCUGGAUCAAAUGGGGCGAUGCCGGCGCGGAGUGGAGUGGAGUGAGAGGAGCGGAGUGCAUCGAACGGAAUAGAGCGGAGCGACGGCAUCGGCCUUGCGCGGGUUUAAUUCACUGUCUGGUUGUUAGGGACGCUGAAUGGGUUGGGGGUGCGGAGGCAACGCCCCCGCGGUACGGUACAGGGAUAUUUUCUGUACGGGCCUUAAAGUUUUAUAUGGGCCCAGAUUAGGGUUAGUAUAAAUAAUAUGUUGUAACCCUAUUUUUCACAACAGAAUAAAGAAAUCUCCGCUUCGCUCUCGUGGACGUAGGCACAUUGCCGAACCACGUAAAAUUCUUGUAUUGAUUUUCGUUUUUCAUCUCUUUAAUAUUGCACAUAAAAUCCAAUGGGUUGGGACACAUCUUCUCUAACAGUUAGAGAUGUUAAUCAAGUUCAAGCAAUGCUUGAACUUAUCCAUUGUGAUUGGCUUUGUCAUCAUGUCUGCUGCAUUUUCUGAGGUAUGCACCUUCUCUAACAACAGCUCUCCUGAAGUAACCAACUCUCUUAUCUUAUGAAAUCUCACGUCAAUGUGUUUGGUUCUUGCAUGAUAAAUCUGAUUCUUAGCUAGGAAGAUGGCACUCUGACUAUCACAGUACAGCUUCAUUCCAUCUUGCUUGAUUCCAAGUUCCCUGACAAGCCCUUUCAACCACAAUAAUUCCUUGGCUGCCUCAGUUGCCGCCAUGUAUUUUGCUUCAGUUGUAGAUAAUGCCAUAAGUGAUUGCACCAUUGACCUCCAACAUAUGGGCCCACCUGCGAGUGUGAAAACAUAACCUGUAUGGGACCUUCUGUCAUCCAAGUCCCCUGCAUAAUCUGCAUCUACAUAUCCUUGAACUGAAUUAUCACCAUGUUGUCUCUCAAACAUGAUCCCACACUCCAUUGUACCUUUCAAGUACCUGAAAAUCCACUUUACAGCUCUCCAAUGCUCUCUACCAGGAUUAGCCAUAUACUUACUAACCACACUGACUGCAUGUGCUAAACUGGUCUGGUACACACCAUUGCAUACAUCAAACAUCCAACUGCACUGGCAUAAGGUACCUUUGACAUCUCUGCAACAUCUUCUUCACUCUUUGGGCACUGAUUAUUAGACAAUCUGAAGUGAUUUGCAACUUUCUUCAAAUAGUUUUUCUGAGACACCCAUAAUUUUCUGGCUUUCCUAUCUCUGUUGAUCUCUAUGCCAAGAAUUUUCUUAGCCGGUCCCAAGUCUUUCAUAUCAAACUUCCUGCUCAACAAAGAUUUCAAUUUGUCUACCUCAUCCAUGUUCUUGGCAGCAAUUAACAUGUCGUCCACAUACAACAUCAAGAAAAUAUAUGAGUUAUCCUCAAGAACUCUGUAGUAUACGCAACAAUCAUACUCACAACGACUGUAGCCAAUCUGAAUCAUAUGAGAGUCAAACUUCUUGUACCAUUGCCGUGGAGACUGCUUAAGCACGUAUAAAGACUUCUUCAGUUGACACACAAGAUUCUCUGUUCCUGGUUCCAUAAACCCUUCUGGCUGCUCCAUGAAAAUCUGUUCCUCCAAAUCACCAUGAAGGAAAGCAGUCUUCACAUCUAGUUGCUCUAACUCCAAAUCAAAAUUAGCUACCAUUGCCAAAACAAUCCUGAUGGAAGUAUGUCUGACGACUGGAGAGAAAAUUUCAUCAUAAUCUACUCCCUUCCUCUGUGAGUAUCCCUUUGAUACUAAUCGAGCUUUGUAUCUUUCUCCUUCCUUUUCUGACAUUGCUUCUUUCUUUCUAUACACCCACUUACACCCUAUCUGUUUCUUCCCCUCUGGAAGCUCCACCAAAUUCCAAGUAUCAUUUUUAUGCAGUGACUCAAUUUCCUCCGUCAUAGCCUCUAUCCAAUUACCUUUCUCCUGACUACCAAUGGCAUCCUGAAAAGUUAUAGGAUCGCUAUUGCUGGUAAUGAGUGCAUAAGAAACCGAAUCCUCAAAUCCAUACUUUGCUGGUGGUUUGGUAGUGCGACGUGGUCUAUCUAAGGCAACACUAUGAUACUGCUCCACCUCUGACCCAGAACUAUCUGCUCCCUGAGCAUUAAUUUAUCUGUUUAUAUUGUCUAGCUCUACUUGCACCACUUGGCUCUUACCUCUGCCCUCGUCUAAAUUUAGCUUCUCUUUAUCUGUAGAAGCUUUAAGCAUGAAUGCUUCAUCAAAUACUGCAUCCCUACUUAUCACCAUCUUCCUUGCCUCUGGAUCCCAAAACUUGUAUCCCUUUACACCUUUAACAUAGCCCAAAAAAAUGCAUUUUCUUGAUUUCGGAUCAAGUUUGGAUCGCUGAUCACUAGAUACAUGCACAUACGCCGGACAACCAAAGACUCUCAAUUCAGAAUAAUCAACUUCAUUACCUAUCCAAACUUCCUCUGCAACUUUCCCAUCUAGUGCUGCUCGUGGUGAUAUGUUUAUGACAUAACAUGCCAUGUUCAUUGCCUCUGCCCAAAAACUCUUCGAGAGCCCUGCAUUCAGCCUCAAACAUCUUGCCCGUUCUGCAAUUGUUCUAUUCAUCCUUUCCGCAACACCAUUUUGUUGCGGUGUCUUGCGAACUGUAUAGUGCCGCUGAAUACCAUGCUCCUCACAAAAUCUCAGAAACUGUGAAUCUGUGUACUCUGUACCGUUAUCUGUCCUCAGAUACUUAAUUUUUCUGCCCAUCUGGUUCUCUACUUCUGCUUUCCAUAGUUUGAACUUGGCAAAGGCUUCAGACUUAUGCUUCAUGAAAUAUACCCAAACUUUUCUAGAGAAGUCAUCAAUGAAAGUAAUAAAGUACUGAGAUCCACCUUUGGACAACUCCCUCACAGGUCCCCAAACAUCUGAGUGCACAUAAUCAAGAAUUCCCUCUGUCUUGUGCUUUCCCAUCUUGAACUGUUCUCUGGACUGUUUUCCAAGUACACAGAACUUGCAGAAAUUCAACUUGCAUGAUUUUACCCCCUUUAACAAAUUUCUCUUGUGAAGCUCAACCAUGCCACGUUCUCCUAUAUGUCCCAGUCGCAUAUGCCAUAGAAGAGUGUCAUCUGACUCUGAUUCUGCUGUAGCAACUCCACCUACAACUGUAUCCCCGAGUAGUUUGUAGAUAUUCCCUACUAAUUUCUGACCCUUCAUCACAAUCAUAGCCCCUUUCUUCACUGUUAGAGCCCCACACUCUGACUUAUAAGAGUAACCGUUUGUGUCUAAAGUGCCUAAAGAAAUUAGAUUCUUUUUCAACUCAGGUACAUGCCUAACAUUUUCCAAGGUCCUUAUCACACCAUCGAACAUUUUAAAUUUUAUAGACCCCAUUCUAAUGACCUUACAUUAUGCAUCAUUACCCAUCAGAACAGAUCCAAAAUUUCCAAAACGAUAUGAAUGAAACCAAUCCCGGUGAGGACACAUGUGAUAUGAACAGGCUGAAUCAAGUACCCAACAGUCAUUUAAUUUUACAAAAUUACCUGCAGAGACUGAUAACAUAUCUCCAUCUCCAGAAUCCGAGUCUCCUUCUGCAACACUAGCUGAGUUUGAGGACCCAUCACCUGUCCUUUCAUCAUUCUGCUUCUUAUUAGGACAGUCUCUCUUAAAGUGACCCAUCUGAUGACAUUUGUAGCACUUCACGUUUUUCUUAUUUUGAUUUCUAGAUUUUGAUCUUGUGUUCCCUCUAAAAGAAACACCCCUGUCCUUCCUUCUCCCACGAUCCUGGUAGCCCUUUACGAUCAACCCUUCACCCUAUGAAGUUUCACCAGUACGCAAUUUCCGCUGAUUGUAGGCUAACAGGGCUGAUGUGACUUCCUCCAAUUCGAGAGUCUCUUUACCCCACGUCAACGUGGUCACCAGAUGGUCGUACGAAGGAGGCAGUGAGUACAACAAAAUCAUUGCCUUGUCUUCAUCAUCAAACUUGAUUUCAAGCCUCAAUAGAUCGCUGAUGAUCUAAUUGAACACAUUGGUGUGUUGAAUCAGAUCCGUACCCUCCAACAUCUUUAGCCCAUACAGCCGCUGCUUUAGAUGCAAUUUGUUCGUGAGAGACUUUGACAUAUAACGACUCUCCAAUUUCUCCCAAACCUCCGCCGGAGACUCAACGUCCAUGACAUGAUACAUGAUUUCGUCCGCCAAACAAAGCCGAAUUGUACCAACUGCUCGCGCCUCGAGCUCUUCCCAAUCGGCAUCUGACGUACCAUCUGGUUUCUUCCCAGAUAGUGCCUUCAUCAUCCCUUGCUGCGCCAACAAAUCCUUCACCCUUCGCUGCCAUAAUCCGAAGUUCCCAAAUCCGUCAAACUUCAUCACAUCAAAUUUUGCAAUCGAAGAACUCGCCAUCUGAACCUAGCUCUGAUACCAGUUGUUGGAUUUUAUGCGCAAUAUUAAAGAGAUGAAAAACGGAAAUCAACAGUAACUAUUACCACAUCACCAACCAAAAGAAUCUGUUUCCAAUUAUUGUCAAAACCUUCCCUUAAACAUAAAAAUGUGACGAAAAAUUGGGGUUUGAAAAAUAAAUGAAAAAUAAAUAAAUUUGAUAAGCACGUUCUUCUAUUUUUCAUAAGAACUUCUACUUUCCCAUCCCACAAGUUCUCUAUGUUAUUACACAAACCUACCCUCUAACUUCACACUCAACCAAGUCAAGAAAAUACACAAGAUCGUAUAUAAGCAGCAGCUACAAAACCACAUCAUCACAAGUUCCAUUAUUUUUGCCAGCAAAAUAAUUAUGCCAAAAAACGAGUAUUCAUACAAAAGUGUAAGUAAACCUAUAACGCAUAAUAUUCAAACCUGUGCAAUGCUAAUAACUUGAUCUGGUUUCCUAUGAAUUGCUAUUCGGUCACCAGUUGCUUAAUAUAUUCACUAUAAAUACAUACAGGCAUAUUGAGAUGUAUGUGAAUAAGAACAUUCAACAUUCACAUACACAAGCAGAGGUAUCUCUGGUUGAUUUUAUCCACUUCUUACUUAACAAAGAUAACAAAAAAUUCAAAAACCAGUCAAGCAGAUAAUACUCUUUACCUCGGAGGUCAUUUAUAUACAUAUAAAUGGAUGUCCCUCCCAACUGUCAGGAAUUUUUGUACCAUGUGUCUUAGAAGUUGUACCUCUCUCUACCAUCUUAGAAGACACUACGCCAUUACGAGUUCAAAUAUAUAACUAUAAAAUGAAACAACUAAUAAUACGAUAAUACGUGCAUAUUGUCGGCAUUCGAACACAGUUUCCAAUUGUUGUUCCCUAUUUACAAUUCACAAUAUAUAAUUUUUUUUCCUUUUUUUUUAGUAAAUUAUAUGCGUAAAACCUGGCAAGGACAGAGAGGCGAGAGGCCCAAGGGGCAGGGGUGCCAGUUGCCGGCCGAUUUGUGAUCGGACUGUCAUGGAGUGGCCUUCGAUUCUCUGUCACUGCCACCGGUGAAUCAUAAUUUGUUACAGGGACAUUUUUCCGAGAACUGAAUCCAGAUUUCCUUGAAGCAGGAGAGAACAUUGCUCUUGCACUAGCUCUACGUGUGCGUACUGUGAGAGAGGGUUCAAGGGCUUUGGUAAAUUCGAAAAUGGAAAAAAUGCGUGGUACGGGUAUUAAAGAUUAAAGGAAAUUGGACUUUUAGUGCUCAAACUAUAGGAUUUGUUUCAUUUUUGUCCUGUUACAUUUUUUGUUCUUAUCCUAUCAAUUGUUUAACAAUAUUGGUCCAUCUAUUAUAGAUCCUGUUUAUUUCAAGAUUUAAAAGUCAAAAUCCAUUUUCUGAAAGACAACUUCAACCUUAAUAGUAAAAUGAGGGAAAAAAGGAAAAUGAAACAAACCCAUAAUUUCUAUCUUUCCCACCCAACCUCGACCAUCUUGCCAACCACACCCACCCACAAUCACAUUGUUGGCCACCGCCACCGCCCUCUUCUUAAAAAAAAAAAAAAAAAAAAAAAAAAAAUUGCAGUCCUGUUUUCGAAAAAGUUAAUGAGUUGUGAUUCAAUCAUUAUCCAGAUGUGUUUCACAAUCGAGGUUUUCAACAAAGAAGAGGAUUCUUAAUUUAGAUCCGAAUCGAUUAAUUUUUUCAAUGUCAACAUUAAAAAUACUUUUUAGAAAAUCUUUUAAGAAGUACCAAACCAAAGUUUUCAGGUUGGGCUUAGUUCAACAAAAAAUGGACUCAUUAAGUCAAUUAAUCGACCUGUCUUGGUUCCAAUCAAAUCGAUUUUCAUGGUUUGGCAAGUAAAAUGUCCAACCCCAUCUACGUUUCUCCUUUGUUUCUUUUUUUGCAUUGUUUAUGAUGUUUUAUGUAUUUUAACUUUUAAUAUGGGUAUAAGAUUAUUUUUGAUACAAACAACUUAACCAUUUUAUAGUAAAAUGGAUGAAAUCUGUCAUCGAGGACCAAUGCUUCUAUGGAAUCAAUAGGUUUGGGACCUCAUGGUCAAGAAAUGUGAGUUUGAGGAUAGAAAUGUGAAUAUGCCAUAACUUUGGAGCCAACAAUGAUUUCUCAAUUGAUUAUAGUCUAUAGAUUAAGGAGUUAUAUGUCAAGAAAAAAUAGAUUGAUAUCUGUUUGCCACUAGUGAAUAGAUUAGGUACUAAUGUUUCAAUUUUUUUGUUCAAAAAUAGUCGAUAAGUUGCACAUUUUGAAAAGAGUGAUACUACAAGCACUAGGAUCAUUCAUAGAUUUUUUUUUACAGGUAAUACACAACUGUAAGAAGCCUGUCUAUUUUUUCCUGCACCCUGAAAAAAAUCCUUUUGGAACCCUCCCCUUGGGGCUUAAAGUAUUAAUAUAUUGCAAACCUCUUUCUUUACAUUUAUUCACCAAACUUUCAUAAAUUAGUAGAGUUCAUCCCUAAAGGCAAAUUCUGUUGGAUUGUGUGUCCAUAUAUAAUAUAUUUUGCUAUUAUAAAAUAAUGAUUUAUAAUAAAUAAAUUAUGAAUUUAUUUAUUUAUUACAAUUAUUUAUUAUUAAGUAUGUUAAUUAAAGUACCUUUAAUCAAUUGUGAUAAUAUAAGUUGGGCACUUGUUUUAAGAAGUACAAUGUGACACAAUUUAUAUUUUAAUCAUAAAAUAUUUGUUGACAACCAAUAUAUAAGUUUAUGCGACAUCAAUAGAUCUGUCCAAGAGUGAAAAUGGCAAAAAAUUCAUGCAAAAUUUCUAGAUUUUCGACCAAACUUCAAGAGGUCAUUACUUCUUCAUUACAAGGCCAAUCUUUAUACCGUUGAAAAUGUCUCAAAAAGUCCUAUCCAAUCAUACUAAAUGAGAAGCAUGAAAUACAGUGCAGAAGAAGUUAUCAAGUGAUGAAGUUUCAAAUUUUAAUAAUUUUCAUACAAAAAUAGAAUUUCAUCCAAAUUUCGGAAAGCCAUAACUUCUUCAUUUCAAGAUUAAAAUUAAUGAUCUUUUUACCAUUGAAAAAUUUCAAGAAGAUAUAUCUAACUAUAUCAAACGGACAGCAUGAAGCUCAACGUACAAGAAGUCAUCAUGUAAUAAAGUUCCCAAUUUUAUGAUAGGGUUCAAUUUUUUCUUCAAAUCGAACCCAAAUGAUGUCAAAUUUUGUAGACAUGUUCUACAAGAUAACACGAAUAUAUAGUAUAAAUUUCAUGAAUUUAUGUAAAGUAUUUCAUAACUUGCCAUUAAAAGGUGCUCAAGCUUU